CCCUUAGAUGUUCUGGGCUGCACGCGCGCUACACUGAAGCGUUCAACGAGUAUUCACCUUGCCCGGGAGGGUUGGGUAAUCUUUUGAAAACGCUUCGUGAUGGGGAUAGAUUAUUGCAAUUAUUAAUCUUCAACGAGGAAUUCCUAGUAAGCGCGAGUCAUCAGCUCGUGCUGAUUACGUCCCUGCCCUUUGUACACACCGCCCGUCGCCCCUACCGAUUGAGUGAUCCGGUGAAUAAUUCGGACUGCAGCACUGCUUGGUCUCCAGGCUUUGCAGCGGAAAGUUUAGUGAACCUUAUCACUUAGAGGAAGGAGAAGUCGUAACA
rnacentral:rRNA from 1 species